AUGAGGAUAUCUGACACUACCUACCCACAAAGCCCCCCAGGCGUUAGCGUCAUCCCCUGCUGCCCAGGGGUUGUGACCUCGUGUUGGAGGAGAGUGGCUCCACAGUUGGAAAUUUCAGGCAUGUUAUUGGAGGAAAUGGACAAUUGUCCAGGCAGUGAUAGCUCAAACUAAGUCAAACCAGAUCUUUAAUGUGGUGAAUUAAAACAUAAUGAACUAAUGAUAAACAAUUGAUUUGGGAUUGAAUAUUGAUACACAAACAAAUAAUUACAUACUUGUAUUAUGUACAUUUAUUCAUGAAUUUAUAGUGGUCAUUUCAGUGCUUGCUUCAGAGAUUUAUUUAGAAUUUACUGUAUAAAGAAGUCACAAAGACGUAUAUAUGCUUGCCCGUCUUUUUUUAUAGUAUGACUUUAAGAAUGCUCUGUAUUGUACAUUAUUUUGGUGAUAAUGGUGUCUAUUAUUGAUUGGAUGAUUGGAUGAUCUACUAUAGCCCUGCGAUGGACUGCCGUGCCAUCCACAGUGUACUCCUGCCUCACACUCAGUGUUUCCUUGAUAGGCUCCAGAUCCGCCAUGAUCCUGACCAGAAAAAAGCACAUAAGUGCAUAAUAUAAGACGUUUUGCAAAAAGAGAUUACAUAAAACGGUUGGUGUUGGAAUCAGACUACCAAGAGGAAAUGAUGUUCAGCUUGAACCGCUAUCUGUUUACUGUGUCUCUCUUCCUCUGGCUUGUCCAAAAUCUGCAGCUGUUUAUUUGCUCCAAGCUGAUCUGGGACCCAAAGGAGCCUGUACUCAGCAUAGGAGUGUAAGCAGCGAUGCUGGGCGAGAACGAUGGCGGCUCUUACUCCAAAUAUUUGACUCCUAAGUGCACGGUGGAGUACUACAAAUGCUGCCAGAAAAGCACUUAAAGAAGAUCUUUCUUCCUUUCACUUCUCUCCCCUACCACUGAUCCAUGACCGGCGAGAGCUGUGUUGAAUAUUUCAGUGCGCCGUCUGCCUAGCCAUCUCACUAGAGAUGCCUUGUCAUUCUAGAUUAGCCAAUCAAGCGGAAGCAGCACAGCAAAUCCAACCAAAGCCUGACACAGCGAGCCAGUAGGGACCAGAGAGAAUCUAAUAUGGCUCCAGAAUUACACCGAGCUGGAGAUAAAGGAGAUGUGAAGUGCAGGAUCCUACACCCUACACAUGCUCCACGUAAGUAUUUGAUGGGAACGUCGCAGCCAAACUCACUGGCCUCUGAUGCCUCCAUUAAAGUUUGAUGGUGCAAUUUAAGUGCGUGUUGAUCUGACACCUCGGCUGGCGAGAGCUGUAGCAAAAGUGCUGGCGCGCAGAAAAGCUCUCUUUUACUCUCGCCCUCUCACUUUCUCUCUUGCAUUUUCUCUCUCUCAGUUGACAACAUCAGAAGUGUUUUAACAGGACUUUAAUGGGUUUUUGGUGCAACUUUUCCGAGACCUGAGUGUGAAAUUUUUAUCCUGCUGAUGGAAGCUGACAUGUCCUGCUUUUCUCCACCUUCCUCUACACAUACAUGUGUAAUCAGCGUGACAACGUUUUUGCUCUCACAAUCUCUGACUGUGAGUCUUAGUGCAGUGGAUUGUGGGUAUGCUUAUAAGCAUUCUGUAU